ensembl:lncRNA
GGAAGGGAGACAGUAAGAUAAGCGGGAGAGCAAGACAGAGACAGAUGGAGAGAGAGAGAGAGAGAGAGAGAGAGAGAGGGAGAAAGAGCAGGGGGACAGAGGGAGAAGAGGGGAACAGACAGAGAGACAGAGAGAGAGGAGGGACACACUGAGAGAGGAGGGCGACAGAGAAAGAGGAAGGGGACAGAGAAAGAGGAAGGAGAGACAUUGAGAGAGGAGGGAGAAGACGGAGACAGGAAGUCAGUGAGACUGGAAGUCAGUGAGACAGGAAGUCAGUAAGCGCCAGAGGACUUUGACAACCAUGGCGAAGACGGUCCCAUAGUGACCAAAGAGAGUCAGGACCCACGUUCCAACAUCCCAUUCGGAAAAAAACGGCACCCUGUGUAGGGCAGUGUUGGGAUUUUUAAGACCCGAGGGAAGAGAGCCCCCAAGCUGGCCCUCCAACACCACAUCCAGCUGUAACUAGUCUUCCAACCAGAAACCAAGAGUGAACCUGCUAAGCUUAGGAGUGUGAGCUCAGCCUCUUCAAAUAGACGGUUGGAUCCAAUUGCUGAAAUUCCUAACAAAGAACAGUAGUGCAACGAAACCACUACAGACCGCUUAUUCUCAGAUUCCCCUAGUCACAACCAGAAUCAUGAUUCAUCAGUGUCUGGAGUCAUGAAACCUUUUACACACAACGGGCAUUUGAGACUAUAUAUACACAGACCCAGCAACUAAAACAUUCGCUCAUACUCUAUAUCCGCAUUUUAGCACACGGAGGCCUUUUAUCUCCGAUGCAUUAUUUAAUCCAGCCUCAUGCCGCUGUAUGUUACGCUACUCUUGAACAAUGUUCCCUAGGGGGUCUCCCAGCCAUCUCGAAUCUCUCAGAGUCCGCCUGGAUGAUCAGAGAGGAGUUAUGGGCUUGAGGAGGAACUUUUUAUCUGCCGCGGCAGCGCUGUCCCUGCGGAGUUUCAACUCUAACCCCUCUCCCGUCUCAUUACGGUCCAAAGUUACCCUGCCAGACACACUCAGCUCUCAGGGCCACACAAGAGACGACUUCAGAUGGUGGACUUUUAAGUGCUGUCCCUGUGGAGUUUCAACUCUAACCGCGCUUUCAUCACAGUCCAAAGUUACCCAGCUACACGCACUUAACUCUCAAGGAGACAAACUCAGAUGGCGGACUUAAAUGGCACGUGCGUGUGUGCGAGCGUGUGCGUGUCACGCGUUAGAGGGACAGCUAGUCAACGCUGACCCUACAGUGUGCGUUGCUAUUCCUGCCAACUCGGCUCUGCCAUUUUGAGUGACUGACAGCUGGUAAGAUAUGUUGUUUCUUUCCGUACCGGGGUAGCUUGCUUUAACAUUGCGCGGCCGUUAGAAUGCAUGAGGGUAGUAAUUACAGCUGUCAGCUGUAAUUGCUACGGUGGCGUGGUUCGGGAAGAUACCAGGCCAAGUUCCUGGUGGCCUGAGAGCUACAGACGGGAUUCCGUCACAUCGUGUCUGCACAGAACUGACACAGACUUAAUUGCAUGAGAUAAUUGUGUGACUCACUGAGGUAGACUGGAUGUGUGUGUGUGUGUGUGUGUGUGUUUGAGUGAAAAUGCACACACACACACACACAGGUUCAGAGCAGUUCUGCUCAGUCUUCUGUUCCAGAAACAGCAGACAUACCAAGAGUGACUCUGGAGGUCAAGGAUAAAUUAUUUGGUGAUACAUUUUUGUUAAAGGUGAAGCGGUCCAAAGGGUUAACACUUCUAGCGUUUUGCUUUCUUGAAAUGGCAAACGUCAAGCGAAAGUGGCCACAGUCACAUGUUGAAAACACUGUCCAAGCCAAUUAUAAAGACCAAAAAGAAACAAAAGGCCUGGUAUCCUUGGCAACAGAGGUGGCUGUUACUAUCCCUAGAUAGUAUUUAAUACACCAAGAAACAACCAGAUUUUUCUUGAGUCUCUCUCUGUGUGUGUGUGAGAGCUUGCAUGUGUCUGUGUGUGUGUGUGUGUGUGUGUGUGUAUGUGUGUGUGUGUGUGAGAGAGUGUGCAUGCGUGUGUGUGUGCUGUAUCAUGUGAAGUUUGCCUUCCAUCCACUUAACGGUAUUUGAUAAGUCAGUGCCCUCAGUCUGUCAAUGGAAAAAUGUGGCUGGUUGCACAGGCUAUUCAUCUUUCAAGCAGUGAUUCACAGCCUCCCAGUGACCUCAUAGGAGGUCUAAAACAACCCACUUCACAGGCAGCCAAGGACUCAGUCCACCGCUCAUACCCACUCUGCCCCCCCCAUAGCCUGGGGUGGAAAAGUGAGACCCAACCGGCUGGAGCCAUUUCCAGACUGCUUUAGAAACGUGGGAAGGCAUUGCUGAGAAUCGAGGUCCGAGAAUGUUUCCUUGCGACAGUUGUGCUUCAAAAUGAUCUACAAAAACAAAACAGUUAGGGCGGACACACGGUCACCGAAUUGCCUUGUCGAUUUAAGAUAUUUUCUAACACUGCUUACGCGUCUGUACAGCAUUUCACUUGAGUGAACUCCGGCUGAGUGAAACUG